UGAAAGGCUGUUUUCACAGCCAGAAAAAGAGCACUUCAGAAAUUCU
rfam:Loxodonta africana unplaced genomic scaffold scaffold_51, whole genome shotgun sequence.